CUUAUAUUUCCCUUUAUUUUGAUAACAUAGUUUGCUUAUUUUUCAUAAAGGACCUGUGAGUUUGCAGACAUUUGCACAAGCUUCCUGAAAUCGACAGUAUAACGUCUACGGCUGUCAUUUCUGGGCAGACUUUAAUCUCUGGGGAGCUGCCAGCUUGAUCCUUGAACUGCAGGAAGCCUUCUUAGGACCUGCCAUGGUCACUGUGCCACCGCUGAUGACUCUGCCAGUGCUGCCACCAAAGCUGCCGCUGGUUCUGUUUUUGCCCAUGCCACCGCCCAGUGCCAUCUCUGCUCAUGCUGCUACCAGUGCCCACCGCCCGGUGCCGUCUCUGCUCGCGCUGCUGCCCGGUGCCCUGUCUGCCAGUAUGCCAUACUGGUACAGAUACAGAGGGAGCGGGCAAGCUAGGUGCAGUGAGCAGGGCACAGUGAGCCCAUGCUUGUCGGGCUGGCUGCAGCUGCCGAGCAUAGGGCGUAAUGCUAACAGAGCCCUCCUCAGCCUCCGGCCCAAACCCACA